ACAUGAGAUCUGCAAGCAGUCCGUCUCUCACCUGAUUAUGUGGAGUCACACUCUCAAAUAGACAGAUCUGUUUAUAUGCGGCCACAAGCUUUUUGUGCAAGAAAAUACCCAAGAAGUGAUGGAGACAGAUCCCAGGAUGUCGGAUGGAAAGUGUCACCUCCUUCACAGUAAAUAUCAGUACCAGACCACAAUGGAAUCAACACAGCUGUGUAGCGUGCAACUAAUAAAGUGCCGCUGCUUUUUAUGGCGUGGAUGGUGACGUCAGCACUGUCCAAAGAGGGGAAAGAGAAAGAAGA